rnacentral:rRNA from 1 species
GACGAACGCUGGCGGCGUGCUUAACACAUGCAAGUGGAGCGACGAACCGGGCUUCGGCCCGGGGCAAAGCCGCGAACGGGUGAGUAUCACGUGGGUAACCUGCCCCGAUGACCGGGAUAACCCGAGGAAACUCGGGCUCAUACCGGAUGUGCUCUCCAUCCACCAGGGUGGAGAACAAAGGAAGCUUCGGCCUCCGCAUUGGGAUGUGCCCGCGGCGCAUUAGCUUGUUGGUGAGGUAAAGGCUCACCAAGGCAACGAUGGGUAGCUGGUCUGAGAGGACGAUCAGCCACACUGGGACUGAGACACGGCCCAGACUCCUACGGGAGGCAGCAGUGGGGAAUCUUGCGCAAUGCGCGAAAGCGUGACGCAGCAACGCCGCGCGAGGGAAGAAGGCCUUCGGGUUGUAAACCUCUUUCAGGAGGGACGAAGGUUCAGGCGCGAACAGCGUCCUGGACUGACGGUACCUCCAGAAGAAGCCCCGGCUAACUACGUGCCAGCCGCCGCAGUAACAC